rnacentral:lncRNA from 1 species
AGAAACUGCUGACAACUAUGAGAGGGCUGUCAGUUUGCUGCCUAUCUGAAUCAGCAGCUGACUGCACUGAACACUAAAUUGCUAUCCAUCGACAAGAGGGUGACUGCUUUGGAAGCCAGAGUAAACUGUGGCCCCAGUGUGAAGGAGUUUAAGAGGAAAAGACGGGCCCACAAUCUCAACAUUGCGCUUCCCGUAAGACCUGCAAGAUACAAGACAGUAUGCAGGAACUUCCGGUACAGCCAACCAGACCUUGCGGCUCAGGUGGCAGGCAAGAAGAGUUCAGCCCAGAGUUGACAGAAAAGGAGGAGGCUACAGGGAUUGAGGCAGA